rnacentral:rRNA from 1 species
CCUACGGGCGGCAGCAGUGAGGAAUAUUGGUCAAUGGGCGCUAGCCUGAACCAGCCAAGUAGCGUGAAGGAUGACUGCCCUAUGGGUUGUAAACUUCUUUUAUAUGGGAAUAAAGUGCAGUAUGUAUACUGCUUUGCAUGUACCUUAUGAAUAAGGAUCGGCUAACUCCGUGCCAGCAGCCGCGGUAAUACGGAGGAUUCGAGCGUUAUCCGGAUUUAUUGGGUUUAAAGGGAGCGUAGGCGGGUUGUUAAGUCAGUUGUGAAAGUUUGCGGCUCAACCGUAAAAUUGCAGUUGAUACUGGCAGCCUUGAGUACAGUAGAGGUAGGCGGAAUGCGUGGUGUAGCGGUGAAAUGCUUAGAUAUCACGAAGAACUCCGAUUGCGAAGGCAGCCUGCUGGACUGUAACUGACGCUGAUGCUCGAAAGUGUGGGUAUCAAACAGGAUUAGAUACCCUAGUAGUC